UACGUAGGGACCAAGCGUUGUUCGGAUUUACUGGGCGUAAAGGGCGCGUAGGCGGCGUGGUAAGUCACUUGUGAAAUCUCUGAGCUUAACUCAGAACGGCCAAGUGAUACUGCUGUGCUAGAGUGCAGAAGGGGCAAUUGGAAUUCUUGGUGUAGCGGUGAAAUGCGUAGAUAUCAAGAGGAACACCUGAGGUGAAGACGGGUUGCUGGGCUGACACUGACGCUGAGGCGCGAAAGCCAGGGGAGCAAACGGG
rnacentral:rRNA from 1 species